CUGGAGUCGAUUGGGUCGGGGAAAUUGGGUGCGGCGACUCCAAUUAGGGUUUCAAGCAGAGGUCAAAGAGGAUUGAACGGAUUAGGUAAUCAAACUGAGUUCUUGCUUUCUUCCCUACUUGUUUAUGUUUGUAUCUUGGUCGGUUAUUGCUGUUGGUUGCGGCGAAUUGGGCGGUGAUGAAUUGUCAAUUGACGGUGGGGAAGGAGAGAUGGAGAGUUGCCAGAGGUUAAUCUGGAUCAGAGCUAUGAACCUCUGAAAUGAACAAAAGAAAACUUCUGAUGUUGCAUUAACAGACUUUCGGACCUUGUCCAGCAGCAUUGCGUGCAUUCAUAUGUUGUGCAUACAGAUUCAGUUUGGGCACUUGCUAGUACACCCACUUUCAGUCAUGUUUAUAGUGGUGGCAGAGAUCUUUCUGUAAGUGCUGCGCAACUAAGGUUGCGAAAAUAAAAUGUGACGAAAGAGAAGAUCUGAAGGUGUUGGCUACAGGUCUUACUGCAGCUUUGGUUGCAAGAAAGCUCCUCACACAAAUGAACCUGCUGGUGGAAGAAUAAAAUCUGCUGAUAGAAAAUUGGAAAGAACAGAAAGUUUAUCUGCCGCAGCUAAAUCAGUAGAGAACCAAAAGCAGGGAGAGAAAUAUGGAAAUAAAACACUGCACGAGGAUGCCUUGAGAGUUUUUGGGAAGGCAUCACUCAAAUCUGAGGGAAAAGCCACAUUGAAAAUAUCACUUGCUGCUGGAUCUCUUUCUAUUCCACUGGUGACAGCUGAGACCUUUCAACAUGAUCCAUACGAAGGGCGAUAGAUAGUAGCAAUGGCUUAGCUUCAGACAAAGUAUCCUAUGCAAGGAAAAUGUUAGAAGUUCAUACUUAUGUAUAUA